rnacentral:rRNA from 1 species
UACGAAGGGUGCAAGCGUUACUCGGAAUUACUGGGCGUAAAGCGUGCGUAGACGGUUGCGUAAGUCGGAUGUGAAAUCCCCGGGCUCAACCUGGGAAUUGCAUUCGAGACUGCGUAGCUGGGGUGCGGAAGAGGGAAGCGGAAUUUCCGGUGUAGCGGUGAAAUGCGUAGAUAUCGGAAGGAACAUCAGUGGCGAAAGCGGCUUCCUGGUCCAGCACCGACGUUCAGGCACGAAAGCGUGGGGAGCAAACAGG